AUUAAGGUGGCAGAGCCAAGUAAUGCAAAAGACCUAAAAUCUUUAUACAGGAAAGCAAAGUUCCUUCUUAAUA
rnacentral:tRNA from 2 species